rnacentral:rRNA from 1 species
GAUGAACGCUGGCGGCGUGCUUAACACAUGCAAGUCGAACGGGAAUUAUUUUAUUGAAACUUCGGUCGAUUUAAUUUAAUUCUAGUGGCGGACGGGUGAGUAACGCGUGGGUAACCUGCCUUAUACAGGGGGAUAACAGUCAGAAAUGGCUGCUAAUACCGCAUAAGCGCACAGAGCUGCAUGGCUCAGUGUGAAAAACUCCGGUGGUAUAAGAUGGACCCGCGUUGGAUUAGCUUGUUGGCAGGGUAACGGCCUACCAAGGCGACGAUCCAUAGCCGGCCUGAGAAGGUGAACUGCCACAUUGGGACUGAGACACGGCCCAGACUCCUACGGGAGGCAGCAGUGGGGAAUAUUGCACAAUGGGGGAAACCCUGAUGCAGCGACGCCGCGUGAAGGAAGAAGUAUCUCGGUAUGUAAACUUCUAUCAGCAGGGAAGAUAGUGACGGUACCUGACUAAGAAGCCCCGGCUAACUACGUG